rnacentral:rRNA from 1 species
GACGAACCGUGCGAACGUUGUUCGGAAUCACUGGGCUUAAAGGGCGCGUAGGCGGGCUCGCCAGUCUGUGGUGAAAGCCCCCGGCUUAACCGGGGAAGUGCCGUGGAUACUGCGAGUCUUGAGGAGGGUAGGGGCAUCUGGAACGCUGGGUGGAGCGGUGAAAUGCGCAGAUAUCAGGAGGAACACCAAUGGCGAAGGCAGCACUCUGGGACGUGACUGACGCUGAGACGCGAAAGCGUGGGGAGCAAACAGG